CUGCAGUCGGUCAAGCCGACUGGGCGCCUUUGCUGGAGGCCCUAGUGUGCGGUGGCCGUGGCAGCAGCCUCCUCGGUGGAGCACGCAGCUUGUUGCUCGUAGGAGCUGCCCCAAGGGACCUUGGAGUCCCUG
rnacentral:snoRNA from 1 species